rnacentral:rRNA from 1 species
UACGAAGGGGGGCUAGCGUUGCUCGGAAUUACUGGGCGUAAAGGGCGCGUAGGCGGAUAGUUUAGUCAGAGGUGAAAGCCCAGGGCUCAACCUUGGAACUGCCUUUGAUACUGGCUAUCUUGAGUUCGGGAGAGGUGAGUGGAAUGCCGAGUGUAGAGGUGAAAUUCGUAGAUAUUCGGCGGAACACCAGUGGCGAAGGCGACUCACUGGCCCGAUACUGACGCUGAGGCG